rnacentral:rRNA from 1 species
GUGGGGAAUAUUGCACAAUGGGCGCAAGCCUGAUGCAGCAACGCCGCGUGAGCGAAGAAGGUCUUCGGAUUGUAAAGCUCUGUCCUUGAGGAAGAAGGAAGUGACGGUACUCAAGGAGGAAGCCCCGGCUAACUACGUGCCAGCAGCCGCGGUAAUACGUAGGGGGCAAGCGUUAUCCGGAAUUAUUGGGCGUAAAGAGUACGUAGGUGGUUUUGUAAGCGCGGGGUGAAAGGCAGUGGCUUAACCAUUGUAAGCCUUGCGAACUGCGAGACUUGAGUGCAGGAGAGGAAAGCGGAAUUCCUAGUGUAGCGGUGAAAUGCUUAGAUAUUAGGAGGAACACCAGUGGCGAAGGCGGCUUUCUGGACUGUAACUGACACUGAGGUACGAAAGCGUGGGGAGCAAACAGGA